AACGAACGUUGGCGGCACGCUUAACACAUGCAAGUCGAACGAGAAACCCGAGCUUGCUCGGGUGGACAGUGGCAGACGGCUUAGUAACGCGUGGGUAUCUACCUAGAGGUUUGGAACAACUAUUGGAAACGAUAGCUAAUACCAAAUAUUCCCUAAGGGGGAAAGAUUUAUCGCCUUUAGAUGAGCCCGCGUCGGAUUAGCUUGUUGGUAGGGUAAAGGCCUACCAAGGCAACGAUCCGUAGCUGGUCUGAGAGGAUGAUCAGCAAGAUUGGGACUGAGACACGGCCCAGACUCCUACGGGAGGCAGCAGUGGGGAAUAUUGCGCAAUGGGGGAAACCCUGACGCAGCGAUGCCGCGUGAGUGAAGAAGGCCUUAGGGUUGUAAAACUCUUUCACCGGUGAAGAUAAUGACGGUAGCCGGAGAAGAAGCCCCGGCUAACUCCG
rnacentral:rRNA from 1 species